CGGGACGGGUGAGUAAUGUCUGGGAAACUGCCUGAUGGAGGGGGGUAACUACUGGAAACGGUAGCUAAUACCGCAUAACGUCGCAAGACCAAAGAGGGGGACCUUAGGGCCUCUUGCCAUCGGAUGUGCCCAGAUGGGAUUAGCUAGUAGGUGGGGUAACGGCUCACCUAGGCGACGAUCCCUAGCUGGUCUGAGAGGAUGACCAGCCACACUGGAACUGAGACACAGUCCAG
rnacentral:rRNA from 1 species